AGAAAAUGUUGCGGGAGGAAGGAUAUAAAGAGCAAUUGAGGAAGCUUAGCUCAGCAAACAGUCUCUUAAGCCUAUAAUAUACCGGAGGUAGCGAGGAAAAUAAGAAAGGAAAAAAGGGAGGAAAUAACUAAAAUGGAAGGAAAGUUCAUUUAAUUGGAUUAUUUUUCUGAGGAAACUUCUAAGAAGUAUGAUAAAAGAUUUACUUACUUACGUAUAUCUAUAUAUGUAUCUAAUAUUUCUUCUCUAAUCUUCUCUAAUCUACCUAGUGAAUAAUAACUAUACGCUAAUCUGACUUUUCGUGUCAAGAUAUUUCGUGGAGAGCAAAGAUUUCAGUUAGAAUAUAGUUUUUGAACUUUGAAACUUUCAAGUUGAGCAAUUGGAUGUGUAAUAUUUCGACUGAGAAAUUAAGUUUAAAGUUGGUAAGAAUGGAGAGAAGUUGGUUUGUCUGGCUAAAUGAGUGGCUUAUUCAUUAAGCAUUCUGUCCUUUGUCCUCUCUUGAGACGAUUCGUAUUAUGACUUUGGGGUUUAGUCCCUCUAUUUUAGUAAAUAGAACUCAACGUAUGCUUCGCGUAAACGCAAUCUCAUUAUCAAUUCAGAUUAAAAUUUAAUCGAAAUUGCUACCUAAGGUGAGCUUGACGCCUGAGAUUCGAUAAAUUAUUUAGCUUACCAUGUACUAUCCAAUAUAAAGUAGUUCAUGCACGAUGAAGACACAGGCUACGUAAUACAUACAGAUCUAUUUAACCUUAUUCCAGCUAAUAUUUAAUAUAAAAUCUAACGUUUAAUAUAUUUUCGCUAUUCAGAAUACAUUUAACGCAUUGUAUAAAUUUUUACACACUAAAUUCUUAACAUAAGUCUAAGAUCUAAUAUCCCUAAUAUACAGAUUCAGAUUGAAUACGUUUAACUAAAAUUUGAUGUAUUUAAUCUGUCUAAACUACUUGCGUUAAAUGUC